GAUGAACGCUGGCGGCGUGCCUAAUACAUGCAAGUCGAGCGAACAGACGAGGAGCUUGCUCCUCUGACGUUAGCGGCGGACGGGUGAGUAACACAUGGAUAACCUACCUAUAAGACUGGGAUAACUUCGGGAAACCGGAGCUAAUACCGGAUAAUAUAUUGAACCGCAUGGUUCAAUAGUGAAAGACGGUUUUGCUGUCACUUAUAGAUGGAUCCGCGCCGCAUUAGCUAGUUGGUAAGGUAACGGCUUACCAAGGCAACGAUGCGUAGCCGACCUGAGAGGGUGAUCGGCCACACUGGAACUGAGACACGGUCCAGACUCCUACGGGAGGCAGCAGUAGGGAAUCUUCCGCAAUGGGCGAAAGCCUGACGGAGCAACGCCGCGUGAGUGAUGAAGGUCUUCGGAUCGUAAAACUCUGUUAUUAGGGAAGAACAAAUGUGUAAGUAACUAUGCACGUCUUGACGGUACCUAAUCAGAAAGCCACGGCUAACUACGU
rnacentral:rRNA from 1 species